UACGGAGGGCGCGAGCGUUACCCGGGUUUACUGGGCGUAAAGGGCGUGUAGGUGGCCUGGGGCGUCCCAUGUGAAAGGCCACGGCUCAACCGUGGAGGAGCGUGGGAUACGCUCAGGCUAGACGGUGGGAGAGGGUGGUGGAAUUCCCGGAGUAGCGGUGAAAUGUGCAGAUACCGGGAGGAACGCCGAUGGCGAAGGCAGCCACCGGGCCCACAUGUGACGCUGAGGCGCGAAAGCGUGGGGAGCAAACCGG
rnacentral:rRNA from 1 species